GUGUGUGGCACCUCCCCCUUCUCUCUCUCUUUCUCCUGCUCCAGGCAUGUGAAGUGCCUGCAUCCCCUUUGCCUUCUGCCAUGAUUGGAAGCUUCCUGAGGCCUCUACAGAAGCAGAAGCCACUAUGCUUCCUGUACAACUUGGCAGAACCAUGAGCCAAUUAAACCUCUUUUCUUUAUCAGUUACCCAGUCUCAGGUAUUUCUUUAGAGCAGUGUGAGAAUGGAUUAAUACACCCAUUCUAAGCCAACUGGUUUGCUAUGGCUCCUGUAACUAAGUACCACAGAUUGGGUGGCUUAAGCAACAGAAAUUGCUUGUCUUGCAGUUGUAGAAGUUAGAAGUCUGAGACAAAAGUGUCCAUAGCAUUGGUUCCUUUUGAAGGCUAUGAGAGAAGGAUCCAUUCCUGGCCUCUCUCCUUGACUUAUAGAUGGGCGUUGUCUUCCUUUAUCUUCCUAUCAUCUUCCCUCUGUGUCUGUGUCUGUGUCCACAUUUUCUCCUCUAAGAACACCACUCAUAUUGGAUAAAAGCCCACACUAAUGACCUCAUUUGAAUUUAAUUGCCUCUUAAAGAUCUGUGUUCCCUCAAUGACCAAUGUCCCCUUAAAAACUGUGUCCUCUCAAAAAUCCGUAUGCACCUCAGAAUGUGGCCACAUAUGAAGACACAGUUCAGCCUAAGACAACCUUCAUUGUUUUAAACCACUGAGAUUUGGGUGCUGCCUGUUACCACAGAGUAACCCAGACUACCCUGACUGACACAAAGAAGCAAUCACAGGUAGAUGCGAAAAGACAGUUUCUUCCAGUCGCAUUUAUGACCCUAUUAAAAAUGACACCAGGGACUUUAUUUUAAAGACAGCUAUGUGUGUCACAGCCAUGAAUAAAUUAGCCACCAGCAGUAUUCUUAGAGUGGAAUAACAUUAUUUUUUUCAGUUUAGGAGGCUGAGGCCAGAGAAAAUGAAAGUCUCUUCCUGAGCAAACAGGAAGACGCUGGUCUGAGACGACUCCCAGUCAGGGGCGUUGCCUGGUGCCUUCCUGCCUCCCUGGGAUCCAACAUGGCGCCUGUCACCCAGACCAACUUCCUCCCCUCAGGCUUCCCUGCGGGUGUCAGACUUGUCAGGGACCCCCAGAGCUGUCAGGCCUCCUUGUCUGCUAUGAACUCGGGACGCCUCUUGCUCACCGAGGCGUUAUCCUUCAACUAGUGACAGGUUAAUUCCUUAAUCACCUGUUUGAGUUUUCCCUCUGCCUACCAGGCCUCACUUCCUAUUUCCUUGUGGUUCCUUGUGGUUUACUUCUUCCCCUGGGCAGGUCCUUCAGACUCUGAGGAGGAAAAUACCCUCUGUGUUAGUUUCUGUGAUUGCUGUAACAAAUUAUCACAAACCAACUUGGUGACUUAAAAGAAGUUUAUUCUCCCUGGAGGCCGGAAGUUCCACAUCAAGGCGCCAGUAAGGCCACGCCUCCUCUGUGAGCACUAGGGGAGGAUCCUUCCUGCCACUCCCAGCUUUUGGUGGCGGCUCCAGCAAGUCCUUGGCUUUGCUCCAUGCAUCACACUAAACUCCGUCUCCAUCUUCAAAUGGCUUCUCCGCUCCAUCUCAAACCUCCCUCUGCUUUUCUCUUAAAAGGACACUUGUUAAGGUUGGGUGGGUGGAUCACUCUUAUAAUCCCAGCACUUUGGGAGACCAAGGCAGGAGAAUCCCUUGAGCCUAGGAGCUCAAGACCAGCCUGGGCAACAUGGCAAGACCCCAUCUCUACUAAAAAUACAAAAAUUAGUCAUGGUGUGGUGGUGUGGGCCUAUAGUCCCAGCUACCCAGGAGGCUGAAGUAGAAGAUCACCUGAUCCCAGGAGAUCGAGGCUGGAGUGAGCUGUGGUCAUGCCACUGCCCUUCAGCCUAGACAGCAGAGUAAGACCCUAUCUAAAAAAAAAAAAAAAAAAAAAAAAAAAAAAA
rnacentral:lncRNA from 1 species